UACGAACCGUACAAACGUUAUUCGGAAUCACUGGGCUUAAAGGGUGCGUAGGCGGCCAUGUAAGUGGGGUGUGAAAUCCCUCGGCUCAACCGAGGAACUGCGCUCCAUACUGCAUGGCUUGAGGGAGACAGAGGUAAGCGGAACUGAUGGUGGAGCGGUGAAAUGCGUUGAUAUCAUCAGGAACACCGGUGGCGAAAGCGGCUUACUGGGUCUCUUCUGACGCUGAGGUACGAAAGCUAGGGGAGCGAACAGG
rnacentral:rRNA from 1 species